rnacentral:rRNA from 1 species
UACGUAGGGUGCAAGCGUUGUCCGGAAUUAUUGGGCGUAAAGAGCUCGUAGGUGGCCUGUCGCGUCGGCUGUGAAAACUCGGGGCUCAACUCCGAGCUUGCAGUCGAUACGGGCAGGCUAGAGUUCGGCAGGGGGAGACUGGAAAUUCCUGGUGUAGCGGUGAAAUGCGCAGAUAUCAGGAGGAACACCGGUGGCGAAGGCGGGUCUCUGGGCCGAUACUGACACUGAGGAGCGAAAGCGUGGGGAGCGAA